rnacentral:rRNA from 1 species
UACGGGGGGAGCAAGCGUUGUCCGGAAUCACUGGGCGUAAAGGGCGCGUAGGCGGCCCGGUAAGUAGGGGGUGAAAUCCUGCGGCUUAACCGCAGGGCUGCCUUCUAAACUGUCGGGCUCGAGCACGGUAGAGGCAGAUGGAAUUCCCGGUGUAGCGGUGGAAUGCGUAGAGAUCGGGAAGAACAUCAGUGGCGAAGGCGGUCUGCUGGGCCGUUGCUGACGCUGAGGCGCGACAGCGUGGGGAGCAAACAGG